GACGAACGCUGGCGGCGUGCUUAACACAUGCAAGUCGAACGGAAAGGCCCUGCUUUUGUGGGGUGCUCGAGUGGCGAACGGGUGAGUAACACGUGAGUAACCUGCCCUUGACUUUGGGAUAACUUCAGGAAACUGGGGCUAAUACCGUAUAGGAGCUCCUGCUGCAUGGUGGGGGUUGGAAAGUUUCGGCGGUUGGGGAUGGACUCGCGGCUUAUCAGCUUGUUGGUGGGGUAGUGGCUUACCAAGGCUUUGACGGGUAGCCGGCCUGAGAGGGUGACCGGCCACAUGGGGACUGAGAGACGGCCCAGACUCCUACGGGAGGCAGCAGUGGGGAAUAUUGCACAAUGGGCGGAAGCCUGAUGCAGCAACGCCGCGUGCGGGAUGACGGCCUGCGGGUUGUAAACCGCUUUCGCCUGUGACGAAGCGUGAGUGACGGUAAUGGGUAAAGAAGCACCGGCUAACUACGUG
rnacentral:rRNA from 1 species